rfam:Xenopus laevis strain J chromosome 2S, whole genome shotgun sequence.
GGCCUUUGUGUUGCCCGUUCACUUUCUAAGUAGCGAAUGAGGUGUCAGAAAAGGCCUAAAAGAAUCUCCCUCAUGGUCACCUCUUGUUCUUCAGAGUGCGACUGUGAUGGAACAUUU